ensembl:lncRNA
UUUUGAGCACUUUCUAUGAUCCAGCACUGUGAGGCACAGAGUGAGAGUCGCAACUCCUCUCUAAGAGCUUCAUAUUGUGUUGGCUUGCUUUGGAGUUGGCUACAAAGAAACUUCUUUUAGAAUGCAGUGCAGUUUAGAAGAAAUACUUUUCUUUUCAUUAAAUAAGUUAAUUGUAGAACAGUCUAUGUUUAAAUGGCAGUGGAAAAAAGCAGAAAGUUGUGGAUCCAAGAAUAGAAUUGUGUGUUAAAUGGAGGCUUGCUUUACCUAUUAGCAGUAGUAGCAGCAGUGGCAGCAGUGUUAGUGGCUCAGUCCUGUGUGACUCUUCGCUACCACCGGGACUGUAGCCUGCCAGGCUUCUUUGUCCUUGGAAUUCUCCAGGCAAGAAUACAGAAGUGGGUAGCCAUUCUCCUCUUAAGAGGAUCUUCCCUACCCAGGGAUAGAACCUGGGCCUCAUGUAUUUUGGGCAGAUUCUUUACUGUUUGAACCACCAGGGAAGUGCCCAAAUCAUCAGACAGAGGUCCAUCCAUGCAUGCAUAGUCAGCCACGCCCUGACUCUUUGUGACCCCAUAGACUGUAGCCCUCCAGGUUCCUCUGUCCAUGGGAUUUUUCAGGCAAAAACACUGGAGUGGGGUGCCAUUUCCUCCUCCAGGGGAUCUUCCUGACCCGUGAAUCAUAUCCUGGUCUCCUGCACCUCCUGCACUUCAGGUGGAUUCUUUACCUGCUGAGCCAUGCUUUACCUAGGACACUUCAUUAUUAAAAGUGUACCAAUGCAUUUAACCCAUUCAAUUUCAUAUGCAGCCUUGGGAUAUCCCUGGUGGUUCAGACGGUAAAGAAUCUGCCUGCAAUGCAGAAGACCUGGAUUCAGUCCUUGGGUUGGAAAGAUCCCCUGGAGAAGGUAAUGAUAACCCACUCCAGUAUUCUUGCCUGGAGAAUCCCAUGGACAGAGGAGCCUCGUGGGCUAUAGUUCAUAGCGUUGCAAAGAAUCAGACAGGACCAAGUGACUAACACACACGCAACCUAAAGGGUUACUACUGACAUCUUACAUUGGACAGGACCUGACAUAGCAAAGCUAAGCAACUUACCCAAAGUCAAACCACAGAUAAGAGAUGGAUAUAAGUGUUGAAUCAGAUCAUUCUGAUUCCAGAGUCUGCAAUAAACCACUAUACUCCCUCACCUUUCUCAGAGAUCAGGGGUCUGUAACCUUUAUCUAAAACAAGUACAGCAAAAUUAU